rnacentral:rRNA from 1 species
AUUGAACGCUGGCGGCAGGCCUAACACAUGCAAGUCGAGCGAGCGGCGGACGGUUUAGUAGUUUAUGGGGACUGCACUAUAGCGGGGGAUAACUACUUGAAACGGUCGCUAAUACCGCAUACUAUCGGAUAACCCAUAUGUGAUUAGAUAGUAGCUGAGGUAAUGGCUCACCUAGGCGCCGAUGCCUAGCUGGUCUGAGAUGAUGAUCAGCCACACUGGGACUGAGAGCCGGCCCAGAAUCCUACGGAGGCAGCAGUGGGGAAGAUGGCACGAUGGGGGCAAGCCUGAUGCAGCCAUGCCGGGUGUAUGACGAAGGCCCUAGGGUUGUAAAGUACUUUCAGUCGGGAGGCGUUACCGACAAGAGAAGCACCGGCUAACUCCGUGCCAGCAGCCGCGGUAAUAC